rnacentral:rRNA from 1 species
AUUGAACGCUGGCGGCAUGCCUUACACAUGCAAGUCGAACGGCAGCGGGCCUUCGGGUGCCGGCGAGUGGCGAACGGGUGAGUAAUGCAUCGGAACGUGCCAUUGAGUGGGGGAUAACGUAGCGAAAGUUACGCUAAUACCGCAUAUUCUGUGAGCAGGAAAGCAGGGGACCGCAAGGCCUUGCGCUCUUUGAGCGGCCGAUGUCAGAUUAGCUAGUUGGUGAGGUAAAGGCUUACCAAGGCGACGAUCUGUAGCGGGUCUGAGAGGAUGAUCCGCCACACUGGAACUGAGACACGGUCCAGACUCCUACGGGAGGCAGCAGUGGGGAAUUUUGGACAAUGGGGGCAACCCUGAUCCAGCCAUGCCGCGUGAGUGAAGAAGGCCUU